AUCCCAGCUAAGUUGAUGAGGUACUUAUCAGAUUUACGGGAGGCCUUUAGGCCCUUUACGAAAGUUGCAAGUUUCGAUGAUAAUGCCUUCUUCUUUUCUUUGAUCACAGAAGGUGUUUUAUUAGUAACUUGGCUUACAUUU